rnacentral:rRNA from 1 species
UUUUCCUACGGGAGGCAGCAGUGAGGAAUAUUGGUCAAUGGGCGGGAGCCUGAACCAGCCAAGUCGCGUGAGGGACGACGGUCCUAUGGAUUGUAAACCUCUUUUGUCGGGGAACAAAGGCGCCCACGGGUGGGCGGAUGAGUGUACCCGAAGAAAAAGCAUCGGCUAACUACGUGCCAGCAGCCGCGGUAAUACGUAGGUGGCGAGCGUUAUCCGGAAUGAUUGGGCGUAAAGGGUGCGUAGGCGGCCUGCUAAGUCUGGAGUGAAAGGUACCGGCUCAACCGGUACAGGCUCUGGAAACUGGC